AUGAGUCGAAAAAUUGAGAAGGAGCGAAACCCGCAACUUCCGACACGGACAAAAUCGAACAACCACCUUCGAUCAACCGACAACACUCACACUAUCACCAGUCAGCCCCGUGUAAUCCACCCUCACAACACAUCGAUUGUCGUCCCUGCAGUAACCACUGCACCGCCAGAUCUAAACCACAACCGACUCCCGCUUCACCGUCGGUACGUAUGGCUUCCAUUCUUUUUUUCGUUUCUUCUAAUCUUCCAGGCCUUUGUGUGUUUGAAUGGUGUGGUUAUCGGCUCGUGGGUAACAUUUUAA